rnacentral:rRNA from 1 species
GACGAACGCUGGCGGCGUGCUUAACACAUGCAAGUCGAACGGAAAGGCCUUUUCGUAGGUACUCGAGUGGCGAACGGGAGAGUAACACUUGGGUGAUCUUCCCUGCACUCUGGGAUAAGCCUGGGAAACUGGGUCUAAUACCGGAUAGUAGCGCACUCUAGCGUGUGUGGUUGAAAGUUUUUUCGGUGUAGGAUGAGCCCGCGGCCUAUCAGCUGGGUGGUGGGUCAUUGGCCUACCAAGUCGGCGACGGGUAGCCGGACUGAGAGGUUGAUCCGCCACAGCGGGACUGAGAGAAGGCCCACACCCCGCAGCGAGGCAGCUGCGCGGAAUCUUGCCCAAUGGGCGCACCCCCAGUGCUGCGACGCCGCGUGGAGGAUAACGUCCUUCAGGUUGUCAACGGCUUUCGCCAGGGACCAAGCGUCUUGUGACGGUACCUGGAGAAGAAGCACCGGCUAACUACGUG